AUAGAAACUUAUAGUCAUUAUUGAUUUAUUUUUUCUUCAUCAUCUACAGGGAAAGGUACCACUUAUAACUAUAAGUGGACUUCAUCAUGCACCGUUUCAUGAUAUUAUACAGUGCAGUUACACAAUUGGAGUUACAGAACUCAGGAUCCGUAGUUGGAAAAAUUGGGAAUCGGAGACUACAUCCCCUCCCCUGACUUUGAUUUUUCCACUGGCUUACCUACGAGACAUCACUUGUUCGAGCUCACACUAAUUUCUACAGUCGGAGUC